CACAGGCAUCCUCUCACUGUGACCUGAACUUUUCUUGUACUGUGAAUUCAGGAUCCAAGGACUGCAGAGGCUCUAAAAAUGAACUUUGCCCCAGGACCAGUGAUUGUACUAGUCUUAAUGUUUGGUAAGGAAACUGGCACUUAGAGCUUAGAGCCUUUGGUUCUACUAUGCUGAUGCAUAAUUUUCUCUAAAAGGAGAUCAUAACUAAGGCAAACUGCACUAAGUUGUUAUUUUCUUCUUAGGAGGAAGCAAUGGAGACUCAGUGAUCCAGACAGAAGAACAAAUGACCCUCUCUGAAGGGACUUCCCUGACUGUGAACUGUUCCUAUGAAAGCUCACAGUACCCAGCCCUAUUCUGGUAUGUUCAAUACCCUGGAGAAGGUCCACAGCUCCUCUUGAAAGCCUUGAAGGCCAAUGAUAAGGGAAGCGAGAAAGGUUUUGAAGCCACAUACAAGAAAGAAACCACCUCCUUCCACCUGGAGAAAGCCUCUGUCCAAGAGUCCGACUCGGCUGUGUACUACUGUGCUCUGAGUGACACAGUGGCAGAAACUGCAGGGGGAGCUGAGCACAAACUCUGAGCAGUACCCAGGGGCCUGGCUGCUGAGCAUUUGCCUCUGGAAUCACUUUGGUUUAAGGACCAGGAACUAGUCUACCAUUGUAGCCACCUACCAGGCACUGCUAUCAAAGGACAAACCAACCCUAAGGACCCAGCAGGAGAACAUGAAGUAAGUUUGCCUCACAUAGGAUUCUUCAGAGGUUAGAGUGGAAACUGUCACCAUUUUUCCUCACCUACUCUUGAAACUUAUGAUUUUAAAAGCAUAAAACCUCAAGGGGAAUGAAAUGAUCUAUAUGUUCAUCAUUGCAUGUAAUUUUAUCCCCUCACCUUGUCUCAGGUCAUGGAGGAAAACAUUGUGUAGAAACACAGCUGUGGCUUCUG
rnacentral:lncRNA from 1 species